UGGGGGAUAUUGCACAAUGGGCGAAAGCCUGAUGCAGCGACGCCGCGUGGGGGAUGAAGGCCUUCGGGUUGUAAACUUCUUUUGCUCUGAACAAGGCAUGCUAAUGGGUGUGUUGAGUGUAGGGGUUGAUUAGCGCCGGCUAACUACGUGCCAGCAGCCGCGGUAAUACGUAGGGCGCGAGCGUUGUCCGGAAUUAUUGGGCGUAAAGGGCUUGUAGGUGGCUGGUUGCGUCUGUCGUGAAAGCUCAUGGCUUAACUGUGGGUUUGCGGUGGGUACGGGCUGGCUUGAGUGCAGUCGGGGAGGCUGGAAUUCCUGGUGUAGCGGUGGAAUGCGCAGAUAUCAGGAGGAAUACCGGUGGCGAAGGCGGGUCUCUGGGCUGUUACUGACACUGAGGAGCGAAAGCAUGGGGAGCGAACAGG
rnacentral:rRNA from 1 species